GCGGGAGUAGCUCAGUUGGUAGAGCGCAACCUUGCCAAGGUUGAGGUCGCGGGUUCGAGCCCCGUCUCCCGCU
rfam:Deltaproteobacteria bacterium GWB2_55_19 gwb2_scaffold_25, whole genome shotgun sequence.